CAUUACAGAGUCUCUAACAUGUACUGGUUUCAUGCAGUUAUUACAUGGGGCACAGUCUGCUGGAUUUAUACUUCAGCUCAGCCUACACUGACUCAACCCCCAUCAAUGUCAGCAUCUGUGGGACAAACACACAAACUGACUUGUGUCCUCACUACUGGGUAUGACUUUAAUAAUGCUUUUGCUGUGUGGUACCAGCAGAAACCUGGUAAUGCUCCACGGUAUCUGGUAAAAUGUGAUAACAGCAAUCAUUACAAAGGCUCUGAUGUCCCUGAUCGAUUCAAAUGUUCCCUGGAAUCAGCCACGCUUAGCCAUCUGACCAUCUCUGGUGUCCAGGCAGAUGAUGACUCUAAUUAUUACUGUGCAUUCUGGGAUAGCAGCAGUAAUCAACACACAGUGCUUCAGUUAGAUGGGGAAGUGAAACAAAAACCUGCACUGCUGUUCCAGACAGAUCAGUUCAUUAUAAACUCGCAAUGCAGUGAGGAUUGUCUCUUUCAAUGA